rnacentral:rRNA from 1 species
UACGUAGGUGGCAAGCGUUGUCCGGAUUUAUUGGGUUUAAAGGGUGCGUAGGCGGUCUAAUAAGUCAGUGCUGAAAUAUCCCGGCUUAACCGGGAGGGUGGCAUUGAUACUGUUGGACUUGAGUAGAGUUGAGGUUGGCGGAAUUGACGGUGUAGCGGUGAAAUGCUUAGAUAUCGUCAAGAACACCGAUAGUAAAGACAGCUAACUAAGCUCAAACUGACGCUGAGGCACGAAAGUGUGGGGAUCAAACAGG